AUUUUUGGAUAAUCGCGUGAAGAUUUAAUAUUUUCAUGAGGAAAGUCCAUGCUAGCACCGGCUGUGAUGCUGGUAGUGUUUGUGCUAGGCGAAACAAUAAGCCUAGGGACGGAGCAAUCCGUUACGGCGACUGAAAAGGCUAAGUCUUUAGAUAGGUCUGAAUAGGUCUGAAAGUGCCACAGUGACGUAGUUCUUCUGGAAACAGAAG
rnacentral:RNase_P_RNA from 1 species